rnacentral:rRNA from 1 species
AGUUGGUGGGGUAACGGCCCACCAAGGCGACGAUCCGUAGCUGGUCUGAGAGGAUGAUCAGCCACAUCGGGACUGAGACACGGCCCGAACUCCUACGGGAGGCAGCAGUGGGGAAUAUUGGACAAUGGGGGCAACCCUGAUCCAGCCAUGCCGCGUGUGUGAAGAAGGCUUUCGGGUUGUAAAGCACUUUCAGUGAGGAGGAAAACCUUAUGGCGAAUACCCAUGAGGCUUGACGUUACUCACAGAAGAAGCACCGGCUAACUCCGUGCCAGCAGCCGCGGUAAUACGGAGGGUGCAAGCGUUAAUCGGAAUUACUGGGCGUAAAGCGCGCGUAGGUGGUUUGAUAAGCGAGAUGUG